AUUGAACGCUGGCGGCAGGCCUAACACAUGCAAGUCGAGCGGAUGACGGGAGCUUGCUCCUUGAUUCAGCGGCGGACGGGUGAGUAAUGCCUAGGAAUCUGCCUGGUAGUGGGGGACAACGUUUCGAAAGGAACGCUAAUACCGCAUACGUCCUACGGGAGAAAGCAGGGGACCUUCGGGCCUCGCGCUAUCAGAUGAGCCUAGGUCGGAUUAGCUAGUUGGUGAGGUAAUGGCUCACCAAGGCGACGAUCCGUAACUGGUCUGAGAGGAUGAUCAGUCACACUGGAACUGAGACACGGUCCAGACUCCUACGGGAGGCAGCAGUGGGGAAUAUUGGACAAUGGGCGAAAGCCUGAUCCAGCCAUGCCGCGUGUGUGAAGAAGGUCUUCGGAUUGUAAAGCACUUUAAGUUGGGAGGAAGGGCAGUAAGUUAAUACCUUGCUGUUUUGACGUUACCGACAGAAUAAGCACCGGCUAACUCUGUGCCAGCAGCCGCCGUAA
rnacentral:rRNA from 1 species